CUGCUUCCCUGGUAAGGGUGGUAGCAUGAUUACGAAAGCAAAGCAUUUUAUCAAGGCAAGGCUCAUCUAUUGCACUCCAGGUGUGCUGAUCCCUGAAACUUCCCAAAAUGGUAGAAACUUGACCAUGUAAUUAGUGGUACUGGGGAACUGCAUUACCACUUUCCCUU